rnacentral:rRNA from 1 species
ACUCCUACGGGAGGCAGCAGUGGGGAAUAUUGCACAAUGGGCGCAAGCCUGAUGCAGCGACGCCGCGUGGGGGAUGACGGCCUUCGGGUUGUAAACUCCUUUCGCUAGGGACGAAGCUUUUUGUGACGGUACCUAGAUAAGAAGCACCGGCUAACUACGUGCCAGCAGCCGCGGUAAUAC